CCCACCGCAUGGUUGUGGGCUUUGUCACCAUUACCGACUGCCUCUCGGCCAAGGCCUUCGAGAAGCUCCACGUGCAGAGGAGCUGUAUGGCAUCACGCUUAAUGACUCUCAGCUCUUUGUCUUUGUGCUGCAUGGGGAGGUAAGCCAAGCAGCCGCGCACCGACGUGGCCUUCAAUCUACGAGGACUGCAGGGUGGUGGAGAAGAGGAUCGAGGACUUCACUGAGUCACUCUUCAUCUUGCUCAAGUCCAAGUGGCUGGAUGGGGCCCCUGACAAGUCUGGGGACAAGAUCCUACUCCUCUACAUGCCGUUUGAGAAGGAGGACUUCAUAGGACUGGACACAGACAGCAGGGCCCUGUGAUCUACAUGCCCGCGCUCCCCAUCUGCUCCUUGGAAAUGAGGUGUCAGGUUUAGGAGCCUGGGCACUGCUGAGGUCACAGCUGCCAGCACCGUGCUACACCGAGGCUGGCUCCGUUCACCUCACAUGUCACCUCCUGCUGAUCCCCCAGGCGUCAGUCAAGUACGUUUUGGUUACUGAGACCCUCGAAUUCCCAUAUGAAUUGUAGCAGCAGCUAGUCAGUUACUGCAGAGGAGCCCACUGGGAUUGUGAUCGAGACCACGUUGAAUAUAUGGAUCGCUCUGUGGAGCACUGACAUUCCAAGAGCACUGUCAUCUGAUCCAGGAAUGUGCGUGGUGUGUCUGUCCAGGUGCCCUCACCUCCAGUGGCAUCCAUCCAGACACCAGCACUGACACUGGCCGUUCUCAGAACUGCCUCAGCCCUGAAGACACAACUGGCAAAUAGAAGGCGGCCACGCCCUGUUACAGCAGGUGCUCUCACUUUGUGGGUCCUUAUGUAACUGCGUGGUUUUAAUCAGGAUCGCCCGUUCUACAUUGUGUGGCGCUGCUGCCGUGUCUCCUAGUUAUUGUUUCUGGCCUGCAACAUGAGCAUCCCUGACUACGUGCAGUGUGCUGAGGAAUACGAGACUCUCCCCGUGGUCUUCCAACCCGUGGGGAUCAUUUCAGAGGACAAUUUCUUUUGCAUCUAUAAACGAAUCUCCUUGGUGAGCCAGAUCAGCCCGUGCGGCUCCCAGUGGGCACUCUGUAUCCACUACAGGCACCACUAUGCGUUCGAGAAUGCGUGGAGUGACUUCCAGACACACCGCACGGUCGUGGGCCUUGUCACCAUUACCGACUGCCUCUCUGCCAAGGCCUUCGAGAAGCUCCAUGUUCAGAGGAGCUUUAUGGCACCACGCUUAAUGACUCUCAGCUCUUUGUCUUUGUGCUGCAUGGGGAGGUAGCCGAGCAGCCACACACCAACGUGGCCUUCAAACUACGAGGACUGCCGGGUGGUGGAGAAGAGGAUCGAGGACUUCACUGAGUCACUGUUAAUCUUGCUCAAGUCCAAGUGGCUGGAUGGGACCCUGACAAGUCUGGGGAAAGGAUCCCCCUCCUCUGCACCUUGUUUGAGAAGGAGGACUUCAUGGGACUGGACACAGACAGCAGGGCCCUGUGAUCUACACGUCCGCACACCCUUCUGCUCCUUGGGGAUGAGGUGGCAGGUUUAGGUGCCUGGGCAUUGCUGUGGGCACAGCUGCCAGCACCGGGCUACACCGAGGCAGGCUCCGUUCACCUCACAUGUCACCUCCUGCUGAGCCCCCAGGCGUUAGUCAAGAUCGUUUUGGUUACUGAGACCCUCGAGUUCCCAUAUGAAUUAUAACAGCAGCUAAUCAGUUUUUGCAGAGGAGCCCGCUGGGAUUGUGAUCGAGACCACGUAGAAUAUACGGAUCACUCUGGGGAGCACUGCCAUUCCAAGAGCACUGUCUUCUGAUCCAGGAAUGUACGUGGAGUGUCUGUCCAGGUGCCCUCACAUCCAGUGGCAUCCAUCCAGACACCAACACUGACACUGGCCAUGCUCAGAACUGCCUCAGCCCUGAAGACACAAGUGACAAAUAGAAGGGAGCCGCGCCCUGUUACAGCAGGUGCUCUCACUUUGUGGGUCCUUAUGUAACUGCGUGGUGUUAAUCAGGAUCGCCCGUUCUACAUUGUGUGGCGCUGCUGCAGUGUCUCCUAGUUAUUUGUUUCUUGUAAGAUUGCUGGUGACUGAGUUAGAAGCAUGCUUCAAAGCUGUCCGUGUCCUUGCCAUCCAGAAGCAGAGCCUGGGAGCUUCCGAAUUUCUCCAGAAUGGGGUUUACAUUCAUCUUCGACAGGCUCCUCCGCUCAGAUGUAAGAAUAUCCUCUUUCGACUUCUUGAUGCAGCUCCUUAAUGAAGAUCUCGUGAAGGAAACUUAGUCAAAACCUGGGAGCAUUCCUAGGAGAGAAUUCAGCAGUGCAGCAUCCUCUCCGAGCUCUAUGAUUUGAUCGGCUUCCACCGCAAGAGCGCCUUCUUCAAGCGGGUGGCCCCCGUGCAGCGCGUGGCCCCCGGCAUCCCGGAGCCUGGCGGGAAGGCCUGCUACCGACUCCUUCUGCAGACGCUUCCUGCCUAGAAUCUGUCGCUGGAUCUGCAGGACUUCAGCAAAGGUGUUGGAACUAAAACAUUGCUUCAGUCCCAUUAACCAUGCCUGGUUUGGGCCAUGCUUUCCUGUCUCAUCAGGGUGAAUUCUGAUUCAUUUAGAACAGGGCUCAGCAGACUUUUUCUGUCAAGGGCUUGGGAGUAAGUAUUUCAGGGUCUGCAAACCUCCUGAUCUCUGGUGCAGCUGCUCAGCUCUGCUGUUCAGACGCCAGAGCAGCCGGACAUUCCACACACCCACAGAGCAUUAUUAACAGUGGUGGCUGGGGCUGGAUUCGGUGUAUGAACUGCAGUUUGUCCCCACAGCCUCCUCACUAUUGACGCCUGCACCAGAGCGUGCAUUUGUGACAAUGGGUGAACCUGCACUGACACGUCAUCAUCACCCAGAGCCCAGACUUGACACUAGGAUUUACACUUGGUGGUGUGCACUCUGUGGGUUUGGACAGAUGUGCAAUGACAUGUAUCCACCGUCACAGCAUCAUACAGAGUAGUCUGUCUUAGUGACCUUAAAAUGCUCUGUGCUGCACCUCAUUCAUUGCUCCUUCCCCUCUAGCCUCUGACAGCCACUGAUCUUUUAGUCUCUGUGGUUUUCCCUUUCCCAGAACACCAUACAGUUGGAAUCAGACAGUUGCGGAACCUUCCCAGAUUGGCUUCUUUCACUUAGUAAUAAGCAUUUAAGGUUCCUCCAUGUCUUUCCAUGCCUUGAUAACUCAUUUCAUUUUAGCACCAAAUAAUAGUCCAUUUUCUGGCUGGACCACAGUUUAUCCAUUCACCUACUGAAGAACAGCUUAGUUGCUUCUGAGUUCUGGUGAUUAUGAAUAAAGCUGCUAUGAACAUCUGUAUGCAGUUUUGUGUGUGGACAUAAGUUUCCAUUUCGUCGAGUAAACACCAAGGAGCACAGUAGCCGGAUCAUAUGUUAGGAGUACGUUUAGUUUUGUAAAAAAUUGCCAGACCGUCUUCCAAAGUAUCUGGGCCCUUUUACAUUCCCACCAGCAAUGCAUGAGAAUUCCUGACGCUCCACAUCCUCACCAGCAUUCGGUGCUGUCAGUGUUCUGCGUUUUGGCAGUUCUGACAGGUGUGCAGUGGUACCUCGCUGUUUCAGUCUGCAUCCCCUUGAUGACAGAUGCUGUGGAGCAUCUAUCCAUAGACUUCUUUGGCAUCUAGAUUUCUUCUUCGAUGAGGUCUGUGUUCAGGCAUUUUGCUCAUUUUUUAAUCAGGUUGUUCAUCCUUCUUGUUGAGUUUAAAGAGAUUUUGGUAUAUUCUGGAUAUCAGCCCUUUAUCAAUGUGUCCCUGCCCUUCACCUGCAGCACUGGAGUUGUCCUUUGGGUCUCAGUGGAGUGUCAGCUCUUCAAAGAGGUUUCCUGUCUUCCCUCAGCCUAAAUACUGUCCUUGUAUUUUUCACUUUCAUUGACUCAUUUUGUUCUUUUUAAAUAGCAUUUCCCAUAAUUUGUAAGUACAUUAAAAAAAAGGGCAAUGAUUGAACACCACCUCCCCCACCAGGCCGUGUGCCCUGUGAGACCAGAGGCCCUGUCCCCACUCACCGUUUCCCAUGACAGCACAUGGCACAUGUCCAUGUAAAAGUGUGUAACGUGGGGCCAAACCUGAUGAGCAGCUAUGAUGACAUAUUUUGGCUACCAUUUAUUGAGUAGACUUUGUUUCUGAUGUUAAUUAUUAAAUCACAUGAAUGAAACAUGUUUGUUUUGAAAAAUAAAACAACAAAGCACACCUCCAUUUGAUUGGUACUUUCUACUUAGCCUUCUGACCCAGGAGGGGAUGUUCACCAUCAUUUUGUGGAGGAGGUUGGGGAGGUAAAGUAAGAGAGUGAGAUCAAAUAAAGUAAAAAUGAUAACUAUCAGUUGGCUUUAUUUUCACUAAGACAUAAAAGUUACUUUAAACCCUA